rnacentral:rRNA from 1 species
AUUGAACGCUGGCGGCAGGCCUAACACAUGCAAGUCGAGCGGCAGCGGGAAAGUAGCUUGCUACUUUUGCCGGCGAGCGGCGGACGGGUGAGUAAUGCCUGGGAAAUUGCCCAGUCGAGGGGGAUAACAGUUGGAAACGACUGCUAAUACCGCAUACGCCCUACGGGGGAAAGCAGGGGACCUUCGGGCCUUGCGCGAUUGGAUAUGCCCAGGUGGGAUUAGCUAGUUGGUGAGGUAAUGGCUCACCAAGGCGACGAUCCCUAGCUGGUCUGAGGGGAUGAUCAGCCACACUGGAACUGAGACACGGUCCAGACUCCUACGGGAGGCAGCAGUGGAGAAUAUUGCACAAUGGGGGAAACCCUGAUGCAGCCAUGCCGCGUGUGUGAAGAAGGCCUUCGGGUUGUAAAGCACUUUCAGCGAGGAGGAAAGGUCAGUAGCUAAUAUCUGCUGACUGUGACGUUACUCGCAGAAGAAGCACCGGCUAACUCCGUGCCAGCAGCCGCAGUAAGAC